GGAGGUCUAAAAAUAUAAUCCCUAUGAAGAUGACAGAAAUAUGUGGGAAAAAGCUCAUGAUUGCUUUGAAAUGUCAGUUCUACAGCAGAUUAUAUGGCUCAUUAUGUUGGCCUUUUCUAUUUCCUAUAUUUUUUACGGUAUUAAAUACAGCGGCCAGUGUUACUGGAGAAAGCUUAAUAAAGAUGGAGACAAGGAGGAAGAAGAUCUUACAAAGUUUAUACAAGCAGAGGG